rnacentral:rRNA from 1 species
GUUGGCGGCCAUAGGUGGGAGCUAGGACCCGUACCCAUUCCGAAAGAAUGAGGAAGGCAAGGCAGGAACGCUGAAAGCGAUGCUUAACUCGUACCGGAAGCACGGAAGUGAAUCUCCCAUGCGAUCUCUGUGGUAGUGUGGUGCUAACGCCCACGCGAAGCUUAGACCGCUGCCAACC